rnacentral:rRNA from 1 species
UACGAGGGGGGCAAGCGUUGUUCGGAUUUAUUGGGCGUAAAGAGCUCGUAGGCGGUUUGUCGCGUCUGCUGUGAAAUCCCGAGGCUCAACCUCGGGUCUGCAGUGGGUACGGGCAGACUAGAGUGUGGUAGGGGAGAUUGGAAUUCCUGGUGUAGCGGUGGAAUGCGCAGAUAUCAGGAGGAACACCGAUGGCGAAGGCAGAUCUCUGGGCCAUUACUGACGCUGAGAAGCGAAAGCGUGGGGAGCGAACAGG